rnacentral:misc_RNA from 1 species
AGAGAGAGAGAGAGAGAGAAUGUAUAGACGUACAUGCAAUUACAUUUUGUGUAGAAAAUUGAAUGAACAUAUAAUUUAUCAAAAACUUUUGUCAAUUGUUCUGAGAGAGCAGCUUUAUGGGAUAAUGGUGAGGCAUGAUUCCUAUUAAGGAACAAGCUAUCAUCAAUCCCAAAUUCUCUAGCAUUGGUGAGCGGAAAACCAAAAUGAUUUACAUAAAUAAUAGAUCCAAACAAAUUCCUUUUCCCUUCCUGGUCCAAUACUGUUCAUACGAGUUGUCAUCCAUGGAUAAAAUUUCCUUUCUAGGGCUUGCUGACGGGUCUUUGGGAUCUGAUCAAGGAUAGAAAUAUUUUAGGAAGAAACUACUAAAGAGACCAUAAGCUUUAUGAGGGCUUUAUAGAGCACAAGUUUCAAUUAGAACCUCAAUGGCAAAAACUUGAAAAGUUAUGGGCAUUCUGAUGUUUUUCCCAAGAUCUUAUAUAAACUUUGAGGAGGGGCUAGAAAUAAUUUGCAUACAUACUAAAAUGCACCUGAAAAUACAAGCCAAAAACUAAAUAAGCAAUAAAAGAAAAUGAUUAGUAGCUGGAGUCUUAGCACAUGAUAACCAUUUGACACAUCAUGGCUAUAACUGUCCCAUAUUUUUCAGCCUCUGUUGGAAUUUUCAUAGGAAAUCUUAUCGUAAAAUUUAUGUGCAAUACUAACAUGAUGUGCAUUUUGUUCGUGUAAAGGAUCUGUAUGUUUGAACAGAAUUAAAUGCAGUGCAUUUCUGACCCUGUUUUGCGUUAUUUUUAAUUUAGGUGACUUGGAUUGGCUACCCAA